rnacentral:rRNA from 1 species
AUUGAACGCUGGCGGCAGGCCUAACACAUGCAAGUCGAGCGGAUGAAGGGAGCUUGCUCCUGGAUUCAGCGGCGGACGGGUGAGUAAUGCCUAGGAAUCUGCCUGGUAGUGGGGGAUAACGUCCGGAAACGGGCGCUAAUACCGCAUACGUCCUGAGGGAGAAAGUGGGGGAUCUUCGGACCUCACGCUAUCAGAUGAGCCUAGGUCGGAUUAGCUAGUUGGUGGGGUAAAGGCCUACCAAGGCGACGAUCCGUAACUGGUCUGAGAGGAUGAUCAGUCACACGGGAACUGAGACACGGUCCAGACUCCUACGGGAGGCAGCAGUGGGGAAUAUUGGACAAUGGGCGAAAGCCUGAUCCAGCCAUGCCGCGUGUGUGGAGAAGGUCUUCGGAUUGUAAAGCACUUUAAGUUGGGAGGAAGGGCAGUAAGUUAAUACCUUGCUGUUUUGACGUUACCAACAGAAUAAGCACCGGCUAACUUCGUG